UAGUGUGAUCAUACCAACACUAUUGCUUUGGAUCCCAUCAAAACUUUGAUAUUAAGCUUGCUUAGGUAUGAGUAGUACUAUGAUGGGUGACCUCUUGGGAAUGCCUCAUAUUGUACCAC
rnacentral:rRNA from 1 species